rnacentral:rRNA from 1 species
AUGAACGCUAGCGACAGGCUAACACAUGCAAGUCGAGGGGCAGCACAAGGAGCAAUCUGAGGUGGCGACCGGCGCACGGGUGAGUAACACGUAUGCAACCUGCCUGUAAGCGGGGAAUAACCCGUUGAAAGACGGACUAAUACCGCAUAAUACUAAAUUACUGCAUGGUAAUUUAUUUAAACAUUUAUGGCUUACAGAUGGGCAUGCGCAUGAUUAGCUAGUUGGAGAGGUAACGGCUCCCCAAGGCAACGAUCAUUAGGGGUUCUGAGAGGAAGGUCCCCCACACUGGUACUGAGACACGGACCAGACUCCUACGGGAGGCAGCAGUGAGGAAUAUUGGUCAAUGGACGAGAGUCUGAACCAGCCAAGUCGCGUGCAGGAAGAAUGUCCCUAUGGACUGUAAACUGCUUUUGCAGGGGAAUAAAGUGCAUCACGUGUGAUGUUUUGUAUGUACUCUGCGAAUAAGGAUCGGCUAACUCCGUGCCAGCCGCCGC